CCUACGGGUGGCAGCAGUGGGGAAUAUUGCACAAUGGGGGGAACCCUGAUGCAGCGACGCCGCGUGAGUGAAGACGUAUUUCGGUAUGUAAAGCUCUAUCAGCAGGGAAGAAAAUGACGGUACCUGACUAAGAAGCCCCUGCUAACUACGUGCCAGCUGCCUCGGUAAUACGUAGGGGGCAAGCGUUAUCCGGAUUUACUGGGUGUAAGGGGAGCGUAGACGGUUUGACAAGUCUGAAGUGAAAUGCCUAGGCUCAACCAUGGAACUGCUUAGGAAACUGUAGAACUGGAGUGCAGGAGAGGUAAGCGGAAUUCAUGGUGUAGCGGUGAAAUGCGUAGAUAUGAGGAGGAACACCAGUGGCGAAGGCGGCUUACUGGACUGUAACUGACGUUGAGGCUCGAAAGCGUGGGGAGCAAACAGGAUUAGAUACCCCAGUAGUC
rnacentral:rRNA from 1 species